GACUCUGUAGCUCAGUUGGUUAGAGCACUGCACCGGAAUCGCAGGGCCGUAGGUUCGAUUCCUGCCAGAGGGC
rnacentral:tRNA from 1 species